rnacentral:rRNA from 1 species
GAUGAACGCUGGCGGCGUGCCUAAUACAUGCAAGUCGAGCGAACAGACGAGGAGCUUGCUCCUCUGACGUUAGCGGCGGACGGGUGAGUAACACGUGGAUAACCUACCUAUAAGACUGGGAUAACUUCGGGAAACCGGAGCUAAUACCGGAUAAUAUAUUGAACCGCAUGGUUCAAUAGUGAAAGACGGUUUUGCUGUCACUUAUAGAUGGACCCGCGCCGCAUUAGCUAGUUGGUAAGGUAACGGCUUACCAAGGCAACGAUGCGUAGCCGACCUGAGAGGGUGAUCGGCCACACUGGAACUGAGACACGGUCCAGACUCCUACGGGAGGCAGCAGUAGGGAAUCUUCCGCAAAGGGAGAAAGCCUGACGGAGCAACGCCGCGUGAGUGAUGAAGGUCUUCGGAUCGUAAAACUCUGUUAUUAGGGAAGAACAAAUGUGUAAGUAACUAUGCACGUCUUGACGGUACCUAAUCAGAAAGCCACGGCUAACUACGUG